rnacentral:rRNA from 1 species
AUGAACGCUAGCUACAGGCUUAACACAUGCAAGUCGAGGGGCAGCAUGAUUGAAGCUUGCUUCAAUCGAUGGCGACCGGCGCACGGGUGAGUAACACGUAUCCAACCUGCCGAUAACUCGGGGAUAGCCUUUCGAAAGAAAGAUUAAUACCCGAUAGCAUAGUUUUUCCGCAUGGUUUCACUAUUAAAGAAUUUCGGUUAUCGAUGGGGAUGCGUUCCAUUAGAUAGUUGGCGGGGUAACGGCCCACCAAGUCAACGAUGGAUAGGGGUUCUGAGAGGAAGGUCCCCCACAUUGGAACUGAGACACGGUCCAAACUCCUACGGGAGGCAGCAGUGAGGAAUAUUGGUCAAUGGACGAGAGUCUGAACCAGCCAAGUAGCGUGCAGGAUGACUGCCCUAUGGGUUGUAAACUUCUUUUAUACGGGAAUAAAGUGGAGUAUGCAUACUCCUUUGUAUGUACCGUAUGAAUAAGGAUCGGCUAACUCCGUGCCAGCAGCCGCGGUAAUACGGAGGAUCCGAGCGUUAUCCGGAUUUAUUGGGUUUAAAGGGAGCGUAGGCGGGUGCUUAAGUCAGUUGUGAAAGUUUGCGGCUCAACCGUAAAAUUGCAGUUGAUACUGGGCGCCUUGAGUGCAGCAUAGGUAGGCGGAAUUCGUGGUGUAGCGGUGAAAUGCUUAGAUAUCACGAAGAACUCCGAUUGCGAAGGCAGCUUACUGGACUGUAACUGACGCUGAUGCUCGAAAGUGUGGGUAUCAAACAGGAUUAGAUACCCUGGUAGUCCACGCCGUAAACGAUGUCGACUUGGAGGUUGUGCCCUUGAGGCGUGGCUUCCGGAGCUAACGCGUUAAGUCGACCGCCUGGGGAGUACGGCCGCAAGGUUAAAACUCAAAUGAAUUGACGGGGGCCCGCACAAGCGGAGGAACAUGUGGUUUAAUUCGAUGAUACGCGAGGAACCUUACCCGGGCUUAAAUUGCAGCGGAAUGUAGUGGAAACAUUACAGCCUUCGGGCCGCUGUGAAGGUGCUGCAUGGUUGUCGUCAGCUCGUGCCGUGAGGUGUCGGCUUAAGUGCCAUAACGAGCGCAACCCUUAUCUAUAGUUACUAUCAGGUCAUGCUGAGGACUCUAUGGAGACUGCCGUCGUAAGAUGUGAGGAAGGUGGGGAUGACGUCAAAUCAGCACGGCCCUUACGUCCGGGGCUACACACGUGUUACAAUGGGGGGUACAGAAGGCAGCUACCUGGCGACAGGAUGCUAAUCCCUAAAACCUCUCUCAGUUCGGAUUGGAGUCUGCAACCCGACUCCAUGAAGCUGGAUUCGCUAGUAAUCGCGCAUCAGCCACGGCGCGGUGAAUACGUUCCCGGGCCUUGUACACACCGCCCGUCAAGCCAUGAAAGCCGGGGGUACCUGAAGUACGUAACCGCAAGGAGCGUCCUAGGGUAAAACUGGUGAUUGGGGCU